rnacentral:rRNA from 1 species
UAUUAAGCGGAGGAAAAGAAACUAACAAAGAUUCCCCUAGUAACGGCGAGUGAAGCGGGAAAAGCUCAGACUUAAAAUCCUUGGAAUUGUAGUCUGUAGAAGCUAUGUCAACAAUCCACGCUUUGUAAAAUCUUCUGGAACGAAGUACAAUUGAGGGUGAUAGUCCCGUUUACGCAAAGCUUGAUUUGUAUACGACUAGCUAUCAACGAGUCGAGUUGCUUGGGAUUGCAGCUCUAAGUGGGUGGUAAAUUCCAUCUAAAGCUAAAUAUUUGUGGGAGACCGAUAGCAAACAAGUACCGUGAGGGAAAGAUGAAAAGAACUUUGAAAAAAGAGUUAAAGAGUACCUGAAAUUGCUGAAAUGGAACCAAUGGGAGGCAGUGUCGGUAGUUUAUGAUUUCUCGCAAUCCGCUUGCGGUGUGCGACCUAUCAUAACUUGCAAGUCAUAUUUGCUUCUUUGUAUGAGAAAGUACCCAAAUCUUNUAAGAGUUGGGAGUUUAUAUCAUGCGAUUGAGUAACUAUGACAAAAUGCCUCUCAUUAUCCCGUCUUGAAACACGGACCAAGGAGUCUAACAUGUUUGCGAGUGCUCGGAGUAAAUCUCCAGGCGCGAAAUUAAAGUAAAAUGACUCUGUCAUCAAGGUAAAAAGCUUAGGCUGCACUAUCGACCGACCAUGCUCCUACGGGAAAAAGGUUUGAGUGUGAGCACACAUGUUGGGACCCGAAAGAUGGUGAACUAUGCUUGAGUAGGACGAAGCCAGGGGAAACUCUGGUGGAAGUCCGUUGCGAUUCUAACGUGCAAAUUGAUCGUCGAACUUGGGUAUAGGGGCGAAAGACUAAUCGAACCAUCUAGUAGCUGGUUCCUCCCGAAAUUUCCCUCAGGAUAGCUGCAACCGAAUAGUUUUAUCAGGUAAAGAGAAUGAUUAGAGGCCUCAGGGAUGGAACGUUCUUGACCUAUUCUCAAACUUUAAAUGGGUAAGAGCCCGGGGUUGUUUAAUUAAACCCUGCGGUCGAAUGGCGGUUGCUAGUGGGCCAAUCUGGGUAAGCUAGAUUGGCGAUGCGGGAUGAACCGAACGUCUAGUUAAAGUGCCAAAGUAUCCGCUAACCUAGAUCCCACAAAAGGUGUUGGUUCAUUAAGACAGCAGGACGGUGGCCAUGGAAGUUGGAAACCGCUAAGGAGUGUGUAACAACUCACCUGCCGAAUGAACUAGCCCUGAAAAUGGAUGGCGCUUAAGCGGAUGACUUAUACUAGACCAACACUACAAGUACAAGGCAGUGUUGAGUAGGGGGGCGUGGAACUCGUUGUGAAUUCUGUGGCGUGAGCCGAGAUGAAAUGAGUUCUAGUGCAGAUCUUGGUAGCAGUAGCAAAUAUUCAAAUGAGAACUUUGAAGACUGUCGUGGAGAAAGGUUCCAUGUGAACAGUAAUUGGACAUGGGUGAGUCGAUCCUAAGAGAUAGGAAAAUUCUUUUUCAAAGUAGCCCUUUUUCGGAAGGGCUCGCUUAUCGAAAGGGAAUCGGGUUAAUAUUCCCGAACCAGGGAGUGGAUACUGAGUGGUAACACAAGCAAAAUCGGGGACAUUAGCGGGAGCCCCGAGAAGAGUUCUCUUUUCUUUUUAACAUUUCAAUGGACCUUGGAAUCGGGUUGACCGGCGAUAAGGUUCAAUGAAUGGUAAAGCGGCAUACUUUUUGUGUCGUUCGGUGCGCUCCCGAUGAUCCGUGAAAACCCGGUGGCGUGACUUAUUCGCACUCCUGGUCGUACUCAUAACCGCCUCAGGUCUCCAAGGUGUGAAGCCUCUAGCCUAUAGAAAAAUGUAGAUAAGGGAAGUCGGCAAAAUAGAUCCGUAACCUCGGGAUAAGGAUUGGCUCUGAGGGUUGGGCCUAGGGGUCUCAGAAACGAUGGAUGUGGCGGCUAGGAGAGGAUUGCGGUUUACGCUGCGGACCUCACCCGGUCGUUCUCCGGAGGUUUUGAGAAUGUCUUCGGACUUUCCUUAGUGCGGGGAACAACUAACUCAGAACUGGAGCGGACAAGGGGAAUCCGACUGUUUAAUUAAAACAAAGCAUUGCGAUGGCUGGAGACGGUGUUGACGCAAUGUGAU